UAGAAGAAAAAAGAAAGAAAAAUUGGAUUAAAACCGUGGGUUCAAAUCCAUGGACGCUGGCACUCCGCCAUCCACUCGCGCCGGCGCCGCCUCUAGCCUCCCUUCCCUCUGAAGCUCCCCGUCUCUUUCUUCGCUGGAUCUAGCCGUCGGCCUCCCUCCUCGCUGAAGCUCGCCGGCGCCUUUCUCGGCCUUGCCGGACCGGCGCCGCCUGCAACUUCCUCCCCAUCCGCUGGCCUUCGUCCCACCGUCGACCUCCACCACCUCGAUGCAACGUUGCUCCUCCACGAGCUCCACGAGACCAAGACCGGAACAAUGAAUGUUAGAUGAAAGCGAGCACCCAAAACAUCAAACGAGUGAAUGCUAGAUUUGAAGGACUGGCCAUCCUUUGGCCAUACUGAGUACCUGUAGUCUGUUGACUGCUUGAGCAUGGUGAAAUGAUAUUAUUGUCCAAAACUCCAAGUGGAGCUCCUCCAGUCUCCCGAGCUGACCUACAAAACCGGCGAUCUUGCCCCAAGCUGAAAUUCUCCUAUAAAGUUGUUGUGCCAGGCUCUGACCGUGACUGGAUUUAUCAUCACCUCCCACGUUGUACAUGAAAGGUACUCUAUAGCCUCUAAAGAACUUGGGUAAGAACUAGUUUGACGUGCAGUGUGCAGGCUGUCAUAGGGUAAGAACUAUUAUCAGUAGCAUCACAUGACCAACCGCGAUGGCUAGUAUUCUGAAUGUCUUGCUGGAAGUUUUGAAGUACUGAUCAUGGCAAAAUGCAAUGGAUAAAAACCAUGGCGUGUCAAAAUGGGCACUCCUGAUUUCUCUGCAGGAGGAAGGGAGCCGAGAAGCUGCGGAUGACACUUGAAGGUGCAGAGGAAGAGGAAGAACUGCAACACGAGUGAAUGUUGCCAACAUUUCCCAUUGCAAUUGAUUGAAGUUGUCACUAUGAGUUCAGAUUAUGUAUCAGGCAUUGUAAUUCCCUUGUAUUCCAGUGGAUUUAUGUCAAUGAAUAUGUGAAUUCAGAUAUUCAGUGAAGUAAACACCAUUGUCGCCAAGUA